UUGCUUCAGCAACAUGUAUUCUAAAAUUGGAACAAUAUAGAGCAUGGUCCCUUUGCAAAGAUAGCACACACAUUCAUGAAAUAUUCCAUAUUUUA
rnacentral:snRNA from 1 species